CCUCCUCCAUACCUGGAUGACUACGGAGAGACGGAUCAGGGUCUCAAGCGGGGCAAUCCCCUGCAUCUAUGUGCGGAGCGCUACAGGAAGAUCGAGCGCCUGUGGCGUCAGCACGGCAUCGCCGAGGUCAUCGGUCACGCUCAAGAGGCCAAUCAGACGCUGGUCGCCAUCGACUGGCAGCACUUGUGAUAUCCUUUUUGGCUCCGCACCCCACCCCCCCCACUCGCGAGUGUAAGCCACAUGAUUGGACACCAGUAAACACUUUCAACCUCCCAGCUUUUCAGCUUCCUGCCGACAGCUUUCAGGGACUUUUUUUUUUCUUUCCAGAAUUUUGAAGACUUUAAGAAAUGUCUUUUCAGAUCAAAGACAGACAUGACAUAACAUCUGUUUGGCGUUCCACAUGAAUGUACAGUCAAACACAGCCUCUCUGCUGUCAUCGAAAGACAGCAUCUGAUAUGUGAAGGCCUUAAACCAGUUUUCUAUUGGCCCUCGGCGUAUUGCAAAAAUAAGUUCUUUAUUCAUGACAUAUAUUGUUAAUUAUGCUUUAUUCAUUUAGCUUUGCUAUGCAGUGAAACCCCUUUAUGUUGACAACCCCUCUAUGUCAACCAGGCCAUCAAGCCCCAGUCCACCAUGUUCUCCCGCUUAAGUCGACGUCGACGUGUUGUGUUGUAAGCAGCGGCGUACAACAACAGCAACUUAACUGCUGUCCAGUUAAAAUAAAAAUAUGCACAAAUGGAGGAAAACCUUGCUAAUCUCCUUUUAUCACAAGGAAAUGGGCAAGCUAGCUGGUUUUGGUUACGCCAACAACCAGUAACGUCCAUGUCCAGCCAGUCCGAGGGGCGUCGACUUAAACGUGUUCCACUGGAUAGACCAGGGGUCAACAACCUGUCGAUCUUCAGCACUUUGCCGGUCGAUCAUGAGAAAGUUAGGGGGAAAAAGUAUUAUUACAUCAGUGCCCUCCCCUCCUGGAGAGCGACCAAUAGGCACGCAUUUACUUUCUACAAAAUAAAAGUAAACCAUUCUACAAAAUAAAUACAUCCUGGUUUGGGGGGGGAUCUUGUGCAGUUCCACGGCCGAGACCAGGGAUCUUGGGCUCAAAAAGGUUGGUGAGCACAGGUAUAGACCGACACUGGGUUGCUUUUUAUCAUCUUUAGUGUACAAAAUGUAUCAAAGAUUCUUCAGUGUUACGUGCGGCUGUGGUGAACCUUUGGACACGCCUGCCUUCAACUGCCACAUCGAGGAUGCGAACAAACCCAAGUAGCAGAGAUUCAGGUGUUACUUGUUUCUUAUCACAACAUAUCAAGGUCAUAUCGGAGCUUUUUCUUCAUCAGAGGACGCCUGUGAUAUCUUCUUUGAUGUUUUAUUUAAGGUUUUUGCUUGCUGUGACUUCCUUUUACAGGUGUGAAUACUUGAUCUUUUGAAAGGCUUUUGUGUUUGUUUGUUUUUCUUUUUUUGCUGAAGUCUGGCCGGUUUUCCAUCACUAUUUUUUUUUGGUUCUAAAUCGAAUCUUGAUUAUUUUUGCUGGAGAAAGUGGAAACCAGUGUUAGAUUCUAUCAAUUUUUGGGUCAAACAUUAAGUUAAGGAUUUUUUUUAGUGUUCGCCACCUCUGCACAGCAUGUUGCAUAGUCACCCUCUCUUCUAUUAGCACAUUGGACUUGUCAAUAUGUGAAUUCUUGUAUAAAUGAGUAUAUUAUGUACAAAAUGUAUAAGAAUAACAAACAAUAAAAACCUGAAAA